UAUGGCCAAAGCCCUGUGAAAGCACUAGUUCUCAUUCAAUUACCAAAGUUAAACAGUGUCAAGGCUGGUCAGUACUUUGAUGGGAUACCUCUUGAGAACACUGGGUAUUGUA